CCAUUAUCAUAUAUGUCUAUGGAUCUCACAUUUUGGCCACGGCCCCUGUGGCCAAAUCUUACUAUCCGCAUAAGAAAUCAAAUCAAUGCAUUUAGUUACCAAGGCUAGCUACUUUCUUCAACUGGUCAUGUUAUUUGAAAAAAUCCAACAUUCUUAAGUGGACGGACACAGAGCACUGGUUUACACUUAAGAAUACUCCCCAUCCAGGCAUCAUAUUCGUGAAAUUCUGAGCAUUCUUGGUCAAGGAUAUUCCAUGACCAAGGUGUGGAGGUGCGGUUGUUGAGCGAGUAUGUGGAAGCGGUUUCUAAGCUUCUAGAUCGACAGAAGUUUUGGAACAGGAGUAGAAAACAGAGGUUGCUUAAGAGGCCCAGGGAGACAACAACUAACAAUGCAUGAAUUAUCAAUGAAGCCGCUUCUGGGCUCGUUUUUGCAAAUCACAAAUACUCUAACAGACAGAAACUUGGGCUGAGGCAUGAGACAGAUUCUUAGAGGAAUUUAGGUUUGAAACUGAUUUUGGGCUGGACCUCCAUGUUCGUUGGUCCCUUUUCUCUUCAUGUGAAUGAAAGAUCCGGG
rnacentral:lncRNA from 1 species